rnacentral:rRNA from 1 species
UAAGGAAUAUUGGUCAAUGGACGCAAGUCUGAACCAGCCAUGCCGCGUGAAGGAUGACGGCCCUCUGGGUUGUAAACUUCUUUUAUCUGGGACGAAAAAAGGGCUUUCUAGCUCGACUGACGGUACCAGAGGAAUAAGCACCGGCUAACUCCGUGCCAGCAGCCGCGGUAAUACGGAGGGUGCAAGCGUUAUCCGGAUUUACUGGGUUUAAAGGGUGCGUAGGUGGGUCUGUAAGUCAGUGGUGAAAUCUCCGAGCUUAACUCGGAAACUGCCAUUGAUACUAUAGGUCUUGAAUUAUCUGGAGGUAAGCGGAAUAUGUCAUGUAGCGGUGAAAUGCUUAGAUAUGACAUAGAACACCAAUUGCGAAGGCAGCUUACUACGGAUUGAUUGACACUGAGGCACGAAAGCGUGGGGAUCAAACA